rnacentral:rRNA from 1 species
UACAGAGGGGGCAAGCGUUGUUCGGAAUUACUGGGCGUAAAGGGCGCGUAGGCGGCCAACUAAGUCGGAUGUGAAAUCCCCAGGCUUAACCUGGGAACUGCAUCCGAUACUGGAUGGCUUGAAUCCGGGAGAGGGAUGCAGAAUUCCAGGUGUAGCGGUGAAAUGCGUAGAUAUCUGGAGGAAUACCGGUGGCGAAGGCGGCAUCCUGGACCGGCAUUGACGCUGAUGAGCGAAAGCUAGGGGAGCAAACGGG